ACAUGAUGAAGCAUUUUUCUCCCCCAUUUAAAGAUCCAGUCAUGUUCCAGUUUGCAGGGGCAGAAGGGCUGGUUUGCAGUUGGUGCUGGGAGGAUAGAGCAUGCAGAAGUCCCUGGGCCAGGAAUGGAACCUGUGCCACAGAAGCAACCCAAGCCAAUGCUGGUGACGAUGCUGGUUCCUUAACCCACUGAGUCACUGGGGAAACUCCUCAUUGGUCUUUCUUAAGGGACCAGUUCUAGCAAUUAGAUGAGGCUGGCCAUUACCAGUGGUCUAGGACUGUUGUAUUCUUAUUAUCUAGUGCAAGAAGCUAAGCAAUAAUAGGACUCAAGUCUAUCUGCUAAGAAGGGGAAGAGGUAACUCUGCUUUUACUCCUUUUUCAUUCCAGCAAGUCUAUGAAGUAGAUGCUGUUAGUAUCCCCACUUCAUGGUUUGGGAAAUGGAGGAUCAGAGAGGUUGGGUGACUUGCCCCAGGUCACAGCUAGUGGUGGAGCUGGGAUUCAAACCCAGGUCUGCGAGGCUCCACAGCAGGUAUUCUCAACUACAAGAGUGUGCUACCACCUCUCACAUUCAUAGGAAGGCCAGCUGAGUUCCCACAGGACCACUGCUUUACAACUGGACCUAUCACUUUCCUGGUCCUAUCACCCCUGGCUGGAGCUUUGCUCUGGGGGUUCCUUCUGGCAUCUUGGUGGAAGCAAGGGGGGUUGAUAACUGGCAUUGUCUUGAAGGAGGAGGCUUUCCAGGCAGGCAGAAAGUUGAAAUGACUGCUGACUCAGCUAUCUGGAUGUCCUUACCUGAGGAGACAGGUAAAUAGACAGCAGUCAUGGAACCAUGAUUAAUGUUCAUAGAGUAGAUCUUACAUCCUCAAGAAAACAAUUUUGGCAACUUUUGUGUGGUGAGUACAUGCCUCCUGUGUGCUGGCUUCCUGCAUACAUGGUGUCUGCCACAACUGCCCUAGGUCUGCAGGGUCGUCCUCCAGUACAGAGUAGGAUACCUAGCAGAGAAAGAAAGUGACCUGCCAAGGUCAGAGAACAAGGUGGUGGAGGGGGCUGUGGCACACACUUAGGCCUCCUGCACUUCCCAAUAUUUCACAAUGGCCCUCAGAAAAAAAUACUUCAGUGAUGCUUCAUCUCUUUAUUCAGGAGGAGAAAGCUGUGCUUAGUACAUUUUAGAAAGCUUCUAUGCCAAUGAGUUUAAAUUGGGGUGUUGGGGCUUAGGGGGAGAACUAUCAGUUGAGUGAAAGUUCAUUUCCAGUGGUCAGUGUUGGCAGAUGAAUGAGGCAUUAUUUGGCCUUAAAGAGGCCCCUGUAAGUGGGCACAGCUGGGGCCUGGUGGAUGUGAAGCUUGCUUUGCUGGGGGGCAGCUGCAUCCUGGCUGGUUCCUCUGAAGUCAGGCUGCAUGAGAACACAUAGGCCCUGGCAGCAUCCUGGCACCACCCAAAGCAGCAAACACCAGCAGCAAGGACACAUGCCAGGAAAGUUUCUGCAACCUCUUCCUCGGCCCUGAGCUAGGCGCCUGCCAUGGACAGAAGACUGCAGGAGCCCACAGCAGACCUAGACAGACUGUUUCUUCCACAGAAUUAUCUCACUAAAUAACUCUCGCUAAAGCCUAACAAGACUUGUCAUCAAGCCCAUUUUCCGGAGGGAGAAACCGAGACUCCAAGAACUACAGAACCUAUUUCUGUGUCUCAAUACGUAGGCCGGCUCUCCGACUUGACGGAAUCGCUCUGGCAACAGCGCCCUCUAAAGGCGGAGGCGAGUAUGCCUGCGUAACAGUCGUGCCCCGUCCUUUGGCGCUGGAAAUGGCGGAGGGCUCCCUCUGGCUUCUGAGGAUUGUCCAGCGCGCCUCCGAGGUCCUGGAGAAGCCAGGAGCGCUGCCUACAACUCGGCCUUGACUUCCCCGCAGCCUUGGUCGCCGCAGCAUUGGGUCAGAGGCAUCCCUGGAGAUUGCAGAAAGUUAGCGGCGGCCCCUGUUGACGCAGCGAGUGACGGCCCGACAUACCCUGAUAGGCCACGGGGAGGGCCAGACGCAGAGCCUUGAAAGAAGGAGCUUGCGCUCUGGAAGGGGCGUGGCCAGCGCUCUUCCUCGAGGGCGGGGCUCUAGGGGAAGGGGCUCUUCUCUGGGAUAUUGUGCCACAAGCGAGGACACCCGUGCACCUAGCCCAGGGCCUGUGUCCUGGCGUCAGCGCAUCUGUGGGCAGCAACUUUACCCUCCCCAGACCUCAGUUUCUGCACCUGUAAGACGGAGGCUCUUCCACAACUGCAAAAAUCGGAGUUUCAUCCAGCAUUCUCAGAAUUCCUGUCUCCAGGCAGGCACUGAGGAAUCAGAGCUGCGUUCCUGUGGAGGCUCAGAGCUCUGAGAUCUCCUUCACUUGCUGCAUCAGUACUCCUGACACUGGAGAGUUCUGGAGGUUGGAGACCAGCCCCUUCCUGGUGGAACAGGCACCCUGUAGCCUGGGAUGUGACAGUCAUAUGACAGGGCCUGUAACAAGUAACAGUGGUAGCCCAAAUAUGUCGAGCACUUACUAUAUGCCUGGCUUUUCAUGAAGUCUGUCGCAUACGUUAUUUACACCCCCACCCGCACAGCCGUGUCUGGUGGUCCUGUUCUUGACAUCCUGUUUACUGAUGAGCCCAGAGUCACACAAUAGUAGCCAGUCCAAGGUCACCCAGCUAAUAAAUGGCUGAAGCAG
rnacentral:lncRNA from 1 species